AAUCGCUAUAUUUAUAUGUGGAGAGAGAGAGAAAGAGAGAAAGAAGAGAAAGAGAGAAAGAAAGAGCACACAU
rnacentral:ribozyme from 1 species